rnacentral:rRNA from 1 species
AACACGUACACAACCUUCCUAUAAGUGGGGAAUAGCCCAGAGAAAUUUGGAUUAAUACCCCGUAACAUAACGAUGUGGCAUCAUAUUGUUAUUAUAGCUUCGGCGCUUAUUGAUGGGUGUGCGGCUGAUUAGAUAGUUGGCGGGGUAACGGCCCACCAAGUCUACGAUCAGUAGCUGAUGUGAGAGCAUGAUCAGCCACACGGGCACUGAGACACGGGCCCGACUCCUACGGGAGGCAGCAGUAAGGAAUAUUGGUCAAUGGACGCAAGUCUGAACCAGCCAUGCCGCGUGAAGGAUUAAGGUCCUCUGGAUUGUAAACUUCUUUUAUCUGGGACGAAAAAAGGCUUUUCUAAGUCACUUGACGGUACCAGAUGAAUAAGCACCGGCUAACUCCGUGCCAGCAGCCGCGGUAAUACGGAGGGUGCAAGCGUUAUCCGGAUUCACUGGGUUUAAAGGGUGCGUAGGCGGGCAGGUAAGUCAGUGGUGAAAUCCUGGAGCUUAACUCCAGAACUGCCAUUGAUACUAUCUGUCUUGAAUAUUGUGGAGGUAAGCGGAAUAUGUCAUGUAGCGGUGAAAUGCUUAGAUAUGACAUAG